AGAGUUUGAUCCUGGCUCAGGACGAACGCUGGCGGCGCGCUUAAUACAUGCAAGUCGAGCGAGAACCGGACCUUCGGGUCCGGGGAAAGCGGCGAACGGGUGAGUAACACGUGGGUAAUCUGCCCUCGGCACUGGGAUAGCCCGGGGAAACCCGGAUUAAUACCGGAUGGCCUCUCGAGCUCUCGAGCUCGUGAGAAAAGGUGGCUUCGGCUUCCGGCUGAGGAUGAGCCCGCGGCGGAUUAGCUUGUUGGUGAGGUAAUGGCUCACCAAGGCUCCGAUCCGUAGCUGGUCUGAGAGGACGAUCAGCCACACUGGGACUGAGACACGGCCCAGACUCCUACGGGAGGCAGCAGUAGGGAAUCUUGCGCAAUGGGCGAAAGCCUGACGCAGCGACGCCGCGUGCGGGAAGAAGGCCUUCGGGUUGUAAACCGCUUUCAGGAGGGACGAAGCUACUCGGGUUAAUAGCCCAGAGGGUGACGGUACCUCCAGAAGAAGCCCCGGGCUAACUACGUGCCAGCAGCCGCGGUA
rnacentral:rRNA from 1 species